rnacentral:rRNA from 1 species
GACGAACGCUGGCGGCGUGCUUAACACAUGCAAGUCGAACGGAAAGGCCCUGCUUUUGUGGUGUGCUCGAGUGGCGAACGUGUGAGUAACACGUGAGUAGCCUGCCCUUGACUUUGGGAUAACUUCAGGAAACUGAGGCUAAUACAGGAUAGGAGCUCCUGCUGCAUGGUGGGGGUUGGAAAGUUUCGGCGGUUGGGGAUGGACUCGCGGCUGAUCAGCUUGUUGGUGGGGUAGUGGCUUACCAAGGCUUUGCCCGGUAGCCGGCCUGAUAGGGUGAGCGGCCACAUUGGGACGGGGAUACGGCCCAGACUCCUCCGGGAGGCAGCAGUGGGGAAUAUUGCACAAUGGGAGGAAGCAUGAUGCAGCAAAGCCGCGUGGGGGAUGACGGCCUUCGGGUUGGUAACCGCUUUCGCCUGUGACGAAGCGUGAGUGACGGUAAUGGGUAAAGAAGCACCGGCUAACUACGUG